GUGAAAGUUUCCAAGGGCGCAUGGUGGAUGCCUUGGCAACAGGAGCCGAAGAAGGACGUGGGAAUCUGCGAUAAGCCUGGUGGAGUCGAUAACCGGACGUUGAGACCAGGAUUUCCGAAUGGGGAAACCCCGCACGACGUGUCGUGUGACCCCCGGUUGAACACAUAGACCGGGUGGAGGGAACGUGGGGAAGUGAAACAUCUCAGUACCCACAGGAAGAGAAAACAAAAGUGAUUCCGUUAGUAGUGGCGAGCGAACGCGGAUGGGGCUAAACCGUAUGUGUGUGAUACCCGGCAGGGGUUGCAUGUGCGGUGUUGUGGGCCCCUCCUUGUCAUGUCUGCCGGCAUGGCGCAGUGAGGUGCGGGCAUAUAGACGAACCAGUGUGGAUGCUGGACCGUAGAGGGUGAGAGUCCCGUAGUCGAAAUGUGUUCCGCCGCUGUUGGAGGGUCGCCCGAGUAGCACGGGGCCCGAGGAAUCCCGUGUGAAUCUGCCAGGACCACCUGGUAAGCCUGAAUACUACCUGUUGACCGAUAGCGGAUCAGUACCGUGAGGGAAUGGUGAAAAGUACCCCGGGAGGGGAGUGAAAUAGUACCUGAAACCAUGUGCCUACAAACCGUUGGAGCCUCCUUGUGGGGUGACAGCGUGCCUUUUGAAGAAUGAGCCUGCGAGUUAGUGAUACGUGGCGAGGUUAACCCGUGUGGGGAAGCCGUAGCGAAAGCGAGUCUGAAUAGGGCGAUUGAGUCGCGUGUCCUAGACCCGAAGCGGAGUGAUCUACCCAUGGCCAGGUUGAAGCGCGUGUAAGAGCGCGUGGAGGACCGAACCCACUUCAGUUGAAAAUGGAGGGGAUGAGCUGUGGGUAGGGGUGAAAGGCCAAUCAAACUCCGUGAUAGCUGGUUCUCCCCGAAAUGCAUUUAGGUGCAGCGUCACGUGUUUCUUCCCGGAGGUAGAGCUACUGGAUGGAC
rnacentral:rRNA from 1 species